rnacentral:ncRNA from 2 species
AGUUCUAGAUGUCCUUCAGGUGGCCGUAGGCCAUAACAGGGAAUCCGGUGCGAAGCCGGAGCGGUCCCGCCGCUGUAAUCCCCCAUGGAGGUCCGGUCCGAAUGCCACUGCCGCGAGGCGGGAAGGCGGGCCGGGCGGGGAGAGUCAGAAGACCUACCUGAAGCGUUUCCUGCCG